rnacentral:lncRNA from 1 species
CCCCCCCCCCCCCCCCCCCCCGGGGCUUCUCACUAACUCUCUGUUCUUUCCAGCCUUCUCUUCGAUGGCCACCACGACCACGAUCACCUCUCUUGCAUCACUGUAUAAUCAUUUCAUCCUUUACCUGUCUCUCUUGAAGCUUCUCAAGCUGGAUCUGGCUGAACAUCAACCAUUGUCUAUUUUUUAUUUUCUGCACUUUCUCUUUACCUAAUUUCUUUUGUCAAAUUUAUUCGCAGGUUGCAAUUUUUUCAACCUUAGGGUUUCAAAUUUGGGGCUUGUGCAGCAACCUAUCAAAUUUGUUUCCCUCGUUACAAAAUUGGAGUUUAUCUUGACACGCAUGCAGCUCGUCAUGGAAAGUUUCUGUCACUGUGAUUUGAAUUUAGAUUCGAACAGCGUAUGAUGUGAGUUUGAGUGAUGAGAGCUGACCUCAAGAUCUCUUUGAUUUCGUCAGCGGCAAACUCUUAAACUCUUUCAAGUCAUGGGAAAGGCUUGAUGUAGGUGGCAUUAUAUCCCACUCUUUUGAAUUGGAGGCCAAGACGAAAGGAUUGUUUAGUGGUGCAACAACUGUUAUUACAUUUCGCUUUCCCUCAAAGGAUGCUCUGCAGGAGAGUGUUGAGGCUUUUAUCAACUGUGUUGUGAAAAAUAGAGGAUUCAGCUAGGGAAAGCACGUUGCCUGCUUGAUCAGAAUGUGGAAGGACCAGUCACAUAUACAAUUGUUAUACUUUCGAUGAGAAUACUCCACUUGUUGAUGAUCCAGAGUACAUCUCUGCAUUGGGUGAAACAAUAUUCAAGGGAAUGCAAAGCGGAGAUAAGGAUGGGGUCUGGCUAAUGCAGGAGAGAUCUUUUUGCAGUUCAGUGAUGGACCAAGAGAGAUGAUAUAUUGUUCUUAUUUCAGAUGAAAGAAGAGUGAAAGGAGUCUCUUGUAGGAGUUGUUUACAAUAAUUUGUAUUUACCAAGGUUCUAAAAAACGCUAGGCGCUAGUCGGGCAGUGACCCGAGGACUAGCGCCCAGGGGCUUAGGCGGGAGCCUAGGCGGUUUUUAUUUUUAUAUUUUAUUUUUAUUUUUAUAACAUAUAAUUAUUUAAAUAAAAAUAUAAGGUAUAUAUAAUGUUGGAAAAUAGAAAGAAUGGCAUGGACAAAUAGGUCAAUUGAGC